GACGAACGCUGGCGGCGUGCCUAAUACAUGCAAGUAGAACGCUGAAGCGAGGAGCUUACUCUUCUUGGAUGAGUUGCGAACGGGUGAGUAACGCGUAGGUAACCUGCCUUGUAGCGGGGGAUAACUAUUGGAAACGAUAGCUAAUACCGCAUAACAAUGGAUGACACAUGUCAUUUAUUUGAAAGGGGCAAUUGCUCCACUACAAGAUGGACCUGCGUUGUAUUAGCUAGUAGGUGAGGUAAUGGCUCACCUAGGCGACGAUACAUAGCCGACCUGAGAGGGUGAUCGGCCACACUGGGACUGGGACACGGCCCAGACUCCUACGGGAGGCAGCAGGAGGGAAUCUUCGGCAAUGGGGGCAACCCUGACCGAGCAACGCCGCGUGAGUGAAGAAGGUUUUCGGAUCGUAAAGCUCUGUUGUAAGUCAAGAACGGGUGUGAGAGUGGAAAGUUCACACUGUGACGGUAGCUUACCAGAAAGGGACGGCUAACUACGUG
rnacentral:rRNA from 1 species